rnacentral:rRNA from 1 species
UACGGAGGGGGCAAGCGUUAUCCGGAUUUACUGGGUGUAAAGGGAGCGUAGACGGCACUGCAAGUCUGGAGUGAAAGCCCGAGGCCCAACCACGGGACUGCUCUGGAAACUGCGGGGCUGGAGUGCAGGAGGGGUAAGCGGAAUUCCUAGUGUAGCGGUGAAAUGCGUAGAUAUUAGGAGGAACAUCGGUGGCGAAAGCGCUUUACUGGACCAUUAUUGACGCUGAGGAACGAAAGCCAGGGGAGCAAACAGG